rnacentral:rRNA from 1 species
CAGUCGAACGGUGAGCAGGAGCUUGCUCUUGUGGAUCAGUGGCGAACGGGUGAGUAACACGUGAGCAACCUGCCCCUGACUCUGGGAUAAGCGCUGGAAACGGCGUCUAAUACUGGAUAUGUGACGUGACCGCAUGGUCUGCGUUUGGAAAGAUUUUUCGGUUGGGGAUGGGCUCGCGGCCUAUCAGCUUGUUGGUGAGGUAAUGGCUCACCAAGGCGUCGACGGGUAGCCGGCCUGAGAGGGUGACCGGCCACACUGGGACUGAGACACGGCCCAGACUCCUACGGGAGGCAGCAGUGGGGAAUAUUGCACAAUGGGCGAAAGCCUGAUGCAGCAACGCCGCGUGAGGGAUGACGGCCUUCGGGUUGUAAACCUCUUUUAGCAGGGAAGAAGCGAAAGUGACGGUACCUGCAGAAAAAGCGCCGGCUAACUACGUGCCAGCAGCCGCGGUAAUACGUAGGGCGCAAGCGUUAUCCGGAAUUAUUGGGCGUAAAGAGCUCGUAGGCGGUUUGUCGCGUCUGCUGUGAAAUCCCGAGGCUCAACCUCGGGCCUGCAGUGGGUACGGGCAGACUAGAGUGCGGUAGGGGAGAUUGGAAUUCCUGGUGUAGCGGUGGAAUGCGCAGAU